rnacentral:lncRNA from 1 species
GCUAUAUUAUCACUUUUUAUUAUCUGUUAUAUAUUGGCGUUUGCAGUGCAACUUGCGCGGAAUUGAUAAGGUGCCAGAUUAUGUACACUAUAUGUACUAUAUACAACUAUAAACGACUUCAAUUUAAAUUACAUUCGGAAAUUUUACACUUUACCGUACCGGAGUAAUAGAGAGUUUCGCGUUAUACGUCAAACGCCAGGCAAAGAACAAUUUUACGGUAUCAGGCAAUGAAGAGUAAGUGAACUUGCUGUUUUAAAACUGAAAUACAUAAUUAUUCUUUCGACGCAAGAAAGAAAAUAUGAAACGAAAACGUUCAAAGAAAAGUUUGGCAAGAAAGUUCGAACCUGCCGUUUGCCGUUCCCGGAAACGUGAAGCUUAAACUCCCUA